CUGCCCGGUGAAAUAUUUCAACGGCCGCGGUAUCCUAACCGUGCAAAGGUAGCAUAAUCACUUGCCUAUUAAUUGUAGGCUAGAAUGAAUGGAAAUAUGAAAUAAAUACUUUCUAAAUUAGUAAAAUAAAAAUUAUUUUUUAACCGAAGAAAGUUAAAUAAAACCGAAGGACAAGAAGACCCUAAAGAGCUAAUUUUUUUACUGACUAUUCAAGAACAAAUUUGAUUGGGGCGAUCAAGGAUUAUUUUUAUCAUCCUUUUUUUUAAGAUUUAUUAAUCUAAAAAUGAUCCUUAAUUAAGAUCCAUAAAAUAGUUACCUUAGGGAUAACAGGCUAAUUUUACUAAAAAGUUCUUAUUAAUAGUAAAGAUUGGCACCUCGAUGUUGGCUUAGGAGCUCUAAAUGGCGCAAGAGUCAUAAAAGAUAGUUUGUUCAACUAUUAAAUUCCU
rnacentral:rRNA from 1 species